UACGUAGGCCGCGAGCGUUGUUCGGAAUUACUGGGCGUAAAGAGUGUGUAGGCGGUGCUCUAAGUUCGGUGUGAAAUCUCCUGGCUUAACUGGGAGGGUGCGCCGGAAACUGGAGUGCUUGAGCGUGGGAGAGGAAAGCGGAAUUCCUGGUGUAGCGGUGAAAUGCGUAGAUAUUGGGAGGAACACCAGUGGCGAAGGCGGCUCACUGGACCGGUACUGACGCUGAUGCGCGAAGGCUAGGGUAGCAAACAGG
rnacentral:rRNA from 1 species